rnacentral:tRNA from 1 species
GGCCCGUUCGUCUAGCGGUUAGGACGCGGCCCUUUCACGGCUGAAACACGGGUUCGAUUCCCGUACGGGGUCACCA